UUGAAACUUUUGGGACUUAUGUGAAAAGAAAGUUGACAUUAAUAGGGAAAAUAACUGUUAUUAAAACUUUAGCACUUUCAUCAUUGGUGCAUAUAUUCACUUCACUCCCAA